UGCUGAGAGGGGUUUAGGAACAAGUUGAGGUGGCCCUGAAUGAAAAAAGUAAACAAUGUUUGGGCAGUUUUCCAGAUUCCCCAAGAAUGAACUUUCACAGAGCUUUGUGUGUGUGUGUGUGUGUGUGUGUGUGUGUGUGUGUGUGUGUGUGUGUGUGUGUAGAGAGAGAAUAUUACUAAAAUUAAUAGGAUACCACUUACAUCCAUAAACAAAUAUGUAAACAACUCAAAAACAAAUCCAGUGGGUUUUUUUUCAAAUGAGCUCUGACUUUUUAAUGCCAUUGAAUGUUUUCUCAUCUAUUAGUGUGAAUUGUUAAGAACUGGCUGUUCUCAUUAAAGUACAAAAUGCUAAUUAACUUUAAAAAGCUUCAGAAGAUAUAAUGUGAAAAAUAAAAGUAUUGAGUAAGAAUGCAAUUCUAUUAAGCAAUAUAUAUGACUGGACAGAUGUGAGCUAAAUUACCAGUUACCUCUAUGUGAUACAAUUAUGGGUAAUUUUAAUUUUCUUCAUUUUGUUUUACUCUGUUUUCAAAUAUCCUACAAAUGUGUAUUUUUAAUAAUAAUAAAAAUAAAUAUUGUUGC
rnacentral:lncRNA from 1 species